rnacentral:rRNA from 1 species
CACCGCGGUUAUACGAAUAGCUGAAGUUGAUAAGUACGGCACAAAGGGUGGUUAAACUUACACAAAUAAAGCCAAAUACCCUCUCAAAGUAGUAAUAAGCCAUGAGGAAGUGAAGCCCGUUCUCGAAAGAAGCUUUAUUAAUUUGACCCCACGAAAACUAUUGAACAAACUGGGAUUAGAUACCCCACUAUGCUUAGUCGUAAACUUUGUCACCCGCCAGGACACUACGAGCGCCAGCUUAAAACCCAAAGGACUUGACGGUGCUUUGAACCCAC